AGGACGAACGCUGGCGGCGUGCUUAACACAUGCAAGUCGAGCGGAAAGGCCCUUCGGGGUACUCGAGCGGCGAACGGGUGAGUAACACGUGAGUAAUCUGCCUUCAGCUCUGGGAUAGCUCCGGGAAACCGGGAUUAAUACCGGAUAUGACCACUUCGGACAUCUGUUGUGGUGGAAAGUUUUUCGGCUGGAGAUGAGCUCGCGGCCUAUCAGCUUGUUGGUGGGGUAAUGGCCUACCAAGGCGACGACGGGUAGCCGGCCUGAGAGGGCGACCGGCCACACUGGGACUGAGACACGGCCCAGACUCCUACGGGAGGCAGCAGUGGGGAAUAUUGCGCAAUGGGCGGAAGCCUGACGCAGCGACGCCGCGUGGGGGAUGAAGGCCUUCGGGUUGUAAACCCCUUUCAGUAGGGAACAAGGCCGGCUUUUGGUUGGUUGAGGGUACCUGCAGAAGAAGCGCCGGCUAACUACGUGCCAGCAGCCGC
rnacentral:rRNA from 1 species